GUAAACAAGGUUUCCGUAGGUGAACCUGCGGAAGGAUCAUUAACGAAUCAAACAAGUUCAUCUUGUUCUGAUCCUGUGCACCUUAUGUAGUCCCAAAGCCUUCACGGGCGGCGGUUGACUACGUCUACCUCACACCUUAAAGUAUGUUAACGAAUGUAAUCAUGGUCUUGACAGACCCUAAAAAGUUAAUACAACUUUCGACAACGGAUCUCUUGGCUCUCGCAUCGAUGAAGAACGCAGCGAAAUGCGAUAAGUAAUGUGAAUUGCAGAAUUCAGUGAAUCAUCGAAUCUUUGAACGCACCUUGCGCCCUUUGGUAUUCCGAGGGGCAUGCCUGUUUGAGUGUCAUUAAAUACCAUCAACCCUCUUUUGACUUCGGUCUCGAGAGUGGCUUGGAAGUGGAGGUCUGCUGGAGCCUAACGGAGCCAGCUCCUCUUAAAUGUAUUAGCGGAUUUCCCUUGCGGGAUCGCGUCUCCGAUGUGAUAAUUUCUACGUCGUUGACCAUCUCGGGGCUGACCUAGUCAGUUUCAAUAGGAGUCUGCUUCCAACCGUCUCUUGACCGAGACUAGCGACUUGUGCGCUAACUUUUGACUUGACCUCAAAUCAGGUAGGACUACCCGCUGAACUUAAGCAUAUCAAUAAGCGGAGGAAAAGAAACUAACAAGGAUUCCCCUAGUAACUGCGAGUGAAAGCGGGAAA
rnacentral:rRNA from 1 species